rnacentral:rRNA from 1 species
UACGGAAGGUCCGGGUGUUAUCCGGAUUUAUUGGGUUUAAAGGGAGCGUAGGCCGCAGGUUAAGUGUGUUGUGAAAAGCAGUCGCCCAACGUCUGCCUUGCAGCGCAAACUGUCCUGCUUGAGUGCGCACAACGCAGGCGGAAUUCGUCGUGUAGCGGUGAAAUGCUUAGAUAUGACGAAGAACUCCGAUUGCGAAGGCAGCUUGCGGGAGCACAACUGACGCUGAAGCUCGAAAGUGCGGGUAUCGAACAGG